rnacentral:rRNA from 1 species
GACGAACGCUGGCGGCGUGCUUAACACAUGCAAGUCGAACGGAAAGGCCCUGCUUUUGUGGGGUGCUCGAGUGGCGAACGGGUGAGUAACACGUGAGUAACCUGCCCUUGACUUUGGGAUAACUUCAGGAAACUGGGGCUAAUACCGGAUAGGAGCUCCUGCUGCAUGGUGGGGGUUGGAAAGUUUCGGCGGUUGGGGAUGGACUCGCGGCUUAUCAGCUUGUUGGUGGGGUAGUGGCUUACCAAGGCUUUGACGGGUAGCCGUCCUGAGAGGGUGACCGGCGACAUUGGGACUGAGAUACGGCACAGACUCCUACGGUAGGCAGCAGUGGGGAAUAUUGCACAAUGGGCGGAAGCCUGAUGCAGCAACGCCGCGUGCGGGAUGAGGGCCUUCGGGUUGUAAACCGAUUUCGCCUGUGACGAAGAGUGAGUGACGGUAAUGGGUAAAGAAGCACCGGCUAACUACGUG